rnacentral:misc_RNA from 1 species
AACGCACAUUGCGCCCCGUGGUAUUCCGCGGGGCAUGCCUGUUCGAGCGUCAUUUCACCACUCCAGCCUGGCUGGGUAUUGGGCGUCGCGGUUCGCCGCGCGCCUUAAAGUCUUUCCGGCUGAGCGACCCGUCUCUAAGCGUUGUGAUCUCAUCAUUCGCGGCGAGCGCGGGGCGUCGGCGGCCGUUAAAUCUUUCUCAAGGUUGACCUCGGAUCAGGUAGGGAUACCCGCUGAACUUAA